rnacentral:rRNA from 1 species
AGCGAACGCUGGCGGCAGGCUUAACACAUGCAAGUCGAACGAUCCUUCGGGAUAGUGGCGGACGGGUGAGUAACACGUGGGAACGUGCCCUUAGGUUCGGAACAACACAGGGAAACUUGUGCUAAUACCGGAUAAGCCCUUACGGGGAAAGAUUUAUCGCCUUUGGAGCGGCCCGCGUCUGAUUAGCUUGUUGGUGAGGUAAAGGCUCACCAAGGCUACGAUCAGUAGCUGGUCUGAGAGGAUGGCCAGCCACAUUGGGACUGAGACACGGCCCAAACUCCUACGGGAGGCAGCAGUGGGGAAUCUUGCGCAAUGGGCGAAAGCCUGACGCAGCGACGCCGCGUGUGGGAUGACGGCCUU